GCCGUUCUCAGUUCGGAUCGGAGUCUGCAACCCGACUCCGUGAAGCUGGAUUCGCUAGUAAUCGCGCAUCAGCCAUGGCGCGGUGAAUACGUUCCCGGGUCUUGUACACACCGCCCGUCACACCGUGGGAGUCGGAAAUGCCCGAAGUCUGUGACCCAACCAUUAAGGAGGGAGCAGCCGAAGGCAGGUCGGAUGACUGGGGUGAAGUCGUAACAAGGUAUC
rnacentral:rRNA from 1 species